UGCCGUCGGCCUUCCCUCACUUACAAACCCUAGCCCUACAAGAGAACAUAUGCUAACCCUUGGAUCCAAUCCAACGAUUCUCAUCAUCUACACCGUCCUAUACAUGCCCUCUCUAUCCCUAACCCCACACUCCCAACCGAGGUCCGCCGACACCCACCUCUUCUUCUAGCUGGAAACCUAGCCCACAAUUCACUCGCCGUGCUAACCUCGAUGCUACCAACCAGACCACUCAAGUCGGCUUCCUCUCCGGUAUUGUCGCCGCAUCUUCUUCCACAACUCAUCAUUUUUCCUCCUAAUGGUCGGAUCUAGUGUCAAACUCUUUGGAGAAGUCGGCAAACCCCUUAUGGACACAUAUCCCCCCUAAAAUUGCGACAUGUUGGGCUAGAGAGGUCGCCAGUCAGCGAACCCUAAAGAUCGGCCGAUGCGUCGACAUUCAAGGUUCUAUCAAAAUCGGCAGAGGAUUCGUGCCAUGCUAUGGUGCAAAUUGAGCCCCCAAAUUGUGUUGCAGGGGAGGCCGUGGGACGCUAUGAGAUGGUUCGACUUAGUUGGUCAUGACGCGAAUUUCGAUUUGGAUCAUGGGGCGGGUCUUGUGUAUGGUACUGGUAGAUUCAGUAGUAUUUGGCGUGAUUGGACUGUGGAGAACAUUUAUUGAUGUAGAUGGAUGCUGGUAUCGUUUUACUACUUGUAGCAGGGGCGUAUCUCUGGCUAGCAGCUCUGUACUCUGCAGGUGACUGGUAAUUGCGGUGGACUUGUUUUGGGAGGAGACAUGCUCAGAUGAGUUGCAUGUGUAUCCUUCCACAUGCUUUAUUUAGCACAUUUGCUGUAGCCUGAUGUGAAUUGUCUUCAGGACAGAUGCUAAUUCCAGAGAUUUGAUUUGAAACCUGUAAGGUCUACAGUAGACUUUUUCUGUUCAUCUGGGGAAUUUCAGCCUUUUGAUUCAAGACCUAUCGGUAUGGUUUGAGCUUUGAUUUGUCAAAAGCUUACUAAACCUUAUUCAGCAGUGAUCAAAGUGGAUAGGCACAAGUAUCAAAGUUUACAUAGGGAUAGGUGUGUAGUUGCUAUUUUUUGUAUAGUUUUAACUACACUACAUAGGGGUGUAGCGAGCUAAUCUCGAUCCCGUCUGUGAAUCUUGAUAGGAGCAACAUGUACGGUUUCCAAUUUUUAUAGUGUGCCAAGUUUGUUGCUUCCUGGAUGUUUCACUAGUUAUAUGCUGUACCACGUGGUCAUUGUUUGUAUCAGAAUGAAGCAAAAGAGAAAAGUGAGUUUCUAACAGUAAA